CCUGCCUGUCACAGCCCUGGGUCCCUUCAAACAGUAAAGGUUAAACAGAAAUUCCCACAGAACCCUCCAGUCAGGAUGAAAGGGCAAUGGGCAGACAGCUGCGGGCAGCAGAGAAUGUUUCAAGCCAACAAUGAUGGUGGCCCUCUGGAUGGGAGGGUUCAACAGGAAGGUGAGGCCACGGCUGGAACUUCAGGGCCGUAUAACGCAUCUGGACCGCAGGUUCUCCCUCCACAGCCUCGGCAGAUCAAUAGAUCCUCCGUGGAUUGACUGUCUCCCAUCCUCCAAGCUGCCUGUCCGUCCCACCAGUGAUUUGGCUGGCUGUUUGAAGCGUGUAUCGUGGUUUCUGUUGGAAAGCGAGUUAUCCUCAGAAAGUCCACAUGGAGCCGGGAGAUAAAACACAAAACAGCCCAGGGCUACAAGUCCCCGGUGAGUGCACAGGUCUAAGGAGCGGCCUCCAGCUGCUCUGCGAACUUCCCUAACAGAUUUCAGCCACCCAGAGAGCACCAAGGUGAGGACGAUGGGAGAAGACCACGUGGCAAGAAGACUCAAGGGGCCUCCACCUGACAACCCAUUGGCAGCUGUCACUAGGCACGAGACCCCUCCCCAGUCGAACUUCGGAUGGGACUUUAAUUCUACCCAAAACUGGAUUUAAGGCCUGCCAGGAGGUGCUGACUCGUGUUGUUUCAAGGCCCUAAAUGGGUGGUCAUUUGUUAUGUGGCAAAACAUCUUUAAUACAGCGGAGUAUCGAGUACCUAAGAUGCCUGACGUCCUGUAAGCACGAGGAUUAGCUCCGUGUGCUUCCAGCCCUAUGCUACUCACACAAAUCUGAGCAAGUGUAGCUACUGUUACAUGCUGGAUUGCAGGUCAUUGUCUUUCUAACUCCAGGCUACUCGUCCAACUUUAAAUCCUUAUUUUAUUAGAGCUCA
rnacentral:sRNA from 1 species